AUUUUGUUCACCUCUU
rnacentral:sRNA from 1 species